UUGGAGGGCAAGUCUGGUGCCAGCAGCCGCGGUAAUUCCAGCUCCAAUAGCGUAUAUUAAAGUUGUUGCAGUUAAAAAGCUCGUAGUUGAAUUUCGGGGUUAGUAGGUUGGUCAUGCCUCUGGUAUGUACUGGUCUCACUGAUUCCUCCUUCCUGAUGAGCCGUAAUGCCAUUAAUUUGGUGUUGCGGGGAAUUUGGACUGUUACUUUGAAAAAAUUAGAGUGUUUAAAGCAAGCUAACGCUUGAAUACAUUAGCAUGGAGUAAUGAAAUAGGACGUUCGAUCCUAUUUUGUUGGUUUCUAGGAUUGACGUAAUGAUUAAUAGGGAUAGUUGGGGGCAUUAGUAUUCAAUUGUCAGAGGUGAAAUUCUUGGAUUUAUUGAAGACUAACUACUGCGAAAGCAUUUGCCAAGGAUGUUUUCAUUAAUCAAGAACGAAAGUUAGGGGAUCGAAGACGAUCAGAUACCGUCGUAGUCUUAACCAUAAACUAUGCCGACUAGGGAUCGGAUGAUGUUAAUUUUUUAAUGACUCAUUCGGCGCCUUACGGGAAAC
rnacentral:rRNA from 1 species